UGCGAUUGGAUUUUCCGUGGUCCUCUUAUUUUGGUGGUUGUCGAAAAAACUAGUACAGCCAGGAAACGGUGAUGACGCUGACAGAAGUCCGUACAGGUACCAAGCAUAUCGAGAUAGACCCAACCCUGAGCCAGAAAGGCAUGUAAAGGCAAAGGAGGAAGUUCGCUUACCCGAAACCUACGGAUGUCGAGGUAGCGUUAACGACAAUGCUGUGCCAGAAAGGCAUCCGGGAUAUCGACAUAGAUUCAGUGCUGAGCCAGAAAGGCGCACAAGGGAGGACGUCGCCUCUCGGAUGCCCGGGUGGCAGAUGGGAAGGGACUACUCGUACGGCAAUCCAGAAAGGUACGUAAAAGGAACGUCAUUUGUGGCGUGACUGAUAGAGUGUUUGGUUCAGAACCCAGAGGUC